CCUACGGGAGGCAGCAGUGAGGAAUAUUGGUCAAUGGGCGGGAGCCUGAACCAGCCAAGUCGCGUGAGGGAAGACGGUCCUAUGGAUUGUAAACCUCUUUAGGCGGGGAGCAAUGCCGGGCACGUGUGCCCGGAGGGAGAGUACCCGCAGAAUAAGCAUCGGCUAACUCCGUGCCAGCAGCCGCGGUAAUACGGAGGAUGCGAGCGUUAUCCGGAUUUAUUGGGUUAAAGGGGUGCGUAGGCGGAUUUUUAAGUCAGCGGUAAAAUGUCCGGGCUCAACCCGGGCCGGCCGUUGAAACUGGGGAGCUUGAGUGGGCGAGAGGUAAGCGGAAUGCGUGGUGUAGCGGUGAAAUGCGUAGAUAUCAGGAAGAACUCCGAUUGCGAAGGCAGCAUACCGGCGCCCGACUGACGCUGAGGCACGAAAGCGUGGGGAUCGAACAGGAUUAGAUACCCCUGUAGUC
rnacentral:rRNA from 1 species